rnacentral:rRNA from 1 species
UACGUAGGGUGCAAGCGUUGUCCGGAAUUAUUGGGCGUAAAGAGCUCGUAGGCGGUUUGUCGCGUCUGCUGUGAAAACUCGGGGCUUAACCCCGGGCCUGCAGUGGGUACGGGCAGACUAGAGUGCGGUAGGGGAGACUGGAAUUCCUGGUGUAGCGGUGAAAUGCGCAGAUAUCAGGAGGAACACCGGUGGCGAAGGCGGGUCUCUGGGCCGAUACUGACGCUGAGGAGCGAAAGCGCGGGGAGCGAACAGG